UGAGGAAUAUUGGUCAAUGGGCGAGAGCCUGAACCAGCCAAAUCGCGUGAAGGAAGACUGCCUUAUGGGUUGUAAACUUCUUUUAUACAGGAAUAAAAAAGGGGACGUGUCCCUUAUUGCAUGUACUGUAUGAAUAAGCAUCGGCUAACUCCGUGCCAGCAGCCGCGGUAAUACGGAGGAUGCGAGCGUUAUCCGGAUUUAUUGGGUUUAAAGGGUGCGCAGGCGGGCUUUUAAGUCAGCGGUGAAAUCUCGGGGCUUAACUCCGAAACUGCCGUUGAAACUGGGAGUCUUGAGUAUGGAUGAAGUAGGCGGAAUUCGUUGUGUAGCGGUGACAUGCUUAGAUAUAACGAGGAACUCCGAUUGCGUAGGCAGCUUACUAAGCCAUAACUGACGCUCAAGCACGAAAGCGUGGGGAUCAAACAGGAUUAGAUACCCUGGUAGUCCACGCCGUAAACGAUGAUUACUAGUUGUAUGCGAUAUACCGUAUGUGACUAAGCGAAAGCGAUAAGUAAUCCACCUGGGGAGUACGCCGGCAACGGUGAAACUUAAAGGAAUUGAC
rnacentral:rRNA from 1 species